UUAACUAUUAUAUAGUACUCAGACAUCACUAGACAAACGAGUUUGGGUCCUCUGGCAGGCGCGGUCAGCAUGAGCCGACGCCCGAAGGCGGCCUGCCAAAGCAACGAAGGUAUAUAUACACGGUUUGGGAAUAGAACCCAUUUCAAAAAACGGGGCAUUCUUUAAUGAUCCUUCCGCAGGUUCACCUACGGAGA
rnacentral:misc_RNA from 1 species